GGAAGGAAUUCAUCAGAUUGUUCAUGGGACACAAUAAAUGGCUGCAGCUGGGGAGGCUUUUGGGGUUGGAGGUUUUUCAGAUAUCUCAUUUUACCCAGUAGAAGCAGGGCAGAACAUGUAUAUCUCUGUUUCGUGUUUACUUAAAUGGGUAAAGGAGAUAGCAUGCAUUAUGCCCUUUUCACUUCUUUAUUUGUUGGGCAACACAUUUUCUGCAUUUGACAAGAUAUGUUCUUUGGAGACUGUAUGCAUGUCCAAAUCAUAUAGAUUUGAAAUCCAAAAUUCUUUAAAACUGAAGUCUGAAGUAAAAAUAUUUCUACUAUGUUCCUAAACUUGUGAAAAAUCGUUCUUUUUCCCCUUUGCGUGGAUACCUCAAACAGCUGGAUGGAAUUUUCUGAAUCUUUUCCAAAACUUCCAUUUCUGGUCUUAGUCUACCCACAUGAAACUUAAUAUGAAAAAGUUAUAUAACUUUUAAGGAGUGCGAAAGGUACUGAAAAUGCUUUGAUUGAAAAUAUGCAGUGUAGUUGUAGCUGUGCUGGUCCCAGGAUAUUAUAGAGAAAGGUAAGUGAGGUAAUAUCUUUUAUCGAACCAAUAGAAUUGAGGAUAUUGCUCACCUUGUCUCUUGAAUGAAUGUGUUAUCUUGAUAUUAAAGUAACACUGUGGUUAUCAUCCUUAGUUUUACUGGGUAAAUACUUUUGCAGCACAAAUUGUGCCUACUGUAUUAAUUGACAUUUCAUCCUGUUAAGACUUCUGAGUAGAGAUAUUGUAUAGAAGGGCGUGGUGGGUGCCAUUGAUUUUAUAUACCUAGUAAAGAAAAUUAAUUGCAUUGUGACUUUGCCGAUUGUGGAUUUUUGCCCCUAUGAGAGCUGUUUCAGCUUUUGUCAGCCUUUUGCCUCCAAUAUUUAUGGGUAUGCCAUAGGCAUUUCCUGAAGGUUGACACUUAGUAUUGGGUAGUAGUUGAUUUUCAGCUUAAGAAGAAUAAAUUAAAAUCAUCAAUAUCAGGAUUUUUUUUAGAUUGAAGUACUUGACUAUUUGGAUUUUGUUUUUGAGUGGGAAAUUGUUUAAUGGUAAAUACAACUUAAGGCAUAUUAAAUGUUAUUCUGUAAAUUGGGUUAUUCAAGAUCAUUUUUCUCAUGCCAGCACCUGCAGCAUCAUAUCUGUACCCUCAUCAUUUAUGAUAAAUAUAGAGCUUUCCUUUGUUUUAUUUUUUUUUAAAAAGAAAAGAAAAAAACAAGAGCAACAGCUGACAAAAACUUCAUGAUGUUCCUCUCCAUCUUCUGCUGAAUGUGAGGGGAAAGCCAUUUAAUUGAAUAAGUCCCACUUCCUGUUUAACUGCAAGCACUGUAAAUGACUGACAUUUGCAUUGGGCCACAUCCUGAGAGGUAGUAAGCAUAUACCGCUUCUCUUGAUGACAGUAGGUGUUGUCACUGCCUUUCAGGAUCAAGGCAGUAGUAUUGUUGUGGUCCCCCUCUUAUCUUCUUUAUUCUCCCUUUCUUUUCAGUUAUACUGGGCAGUGUUUUCUCCCUAAUUCAAACUUGUUUAUAAGUAGAAGUUGCAGAAUUAAUGUUAUUGGUA